rnacentral:rRNA from 1 species
GACGAACGCUGGCGGCGUGCUUAACACAUGCAAGUCGAACGAAGAGCGAUGGACGCUUGCUUCUAUCAAUCUUAGUGGCGCACGGGUGAGUAACGCGUAAUCAACCUGCCCUUCAGAGGGGGACAACAGUUGGAAACGACUGCUAAUACCGCAUACGAUCUAAUCUCGGCAUCGAGGAAAGAUGAAAGGUGGCCUCUAUUUAUAAGCUAUCACUGAAGGAGGGGAUUGCGUCUGAUUAGCUAGUUGGAGGGGUAACGGCCCACCAAGGCGAUGAUCAGUAGCCGGUCUGAGAGGAUGAACGGCCACAUUGGGACUGAGACACGGCCCAGACUCCUACGGGAGGCAGCAGUGGGGAAUCUUCCGCAAUGGACGAAAGUCUGACGGAGCAACGCCGCGUGAGUGAUGACGGCCUUCGGGUUGUAAAGCUCUGUUAAUCGGGACGAAAGGCCUUCUUGCGAACAGUUAGAAGGAUUGACGGUACCGGAAUAGAAAGCCACGGCUAACUACGUG